rnacentral:sRNA from 1 species
AACUAAACCUGAUAGAACGGAUGCUCCCGAUUUAAGUAACUUGCUUUGGUUGCUUUACGGUGUGCUUGCUUGUUGCACAGGUUUCAUCGGAGCAGGAGGGAUAGCAGGACUGGUG